GAUGAACGCUGGCGGCGUGCCUAAUACAUGCAAGUCGAACGAACGGACGUUAAACUAAUACGACUGAAUCCUAGGGGGGAAGGGGGGAGUAAACGGUUGGAACCUACCCCCAAGGUUGGGAAAAACAGUCGAAACGGGUGCCAAUAACGGCAAGUAGUUUUCACGUCAAGGGACAGAAAACAAAAGGAGCAAUUCGCUUACUGAGAGACGGGUGCGCGAUCAGUUAGCUGGUUGGUAAGGGAACCGCUCACCAAGGGAACGAUGCCUAGCCGAACUGAGAGGAUGACCGGCCACGCUGCAACUGAGACACGGUCCAGAAUCCUACGGGAGGCAGCAGUCGUGAACCUUCCGCAAUGGGCGGAAGCCUGACGGAGCCACGCCGCGUGAGUGAUGAAGGGCUUCGGAUCGUAAACUACUGUCAUCAGGGAGGAAUAGAGUUGUUUUUAGACGUGUGCACAUUGACGGUACCCAAUGAAUAAGCAACGGCUAACUACGUG
rnacentral:rRNA from 1 species